AUACGUAGGGGGCGAGCGUUGUCCGGAAUUACUGGGCGUAAAGCGCAUGUAGGCGGCUUGUUAAGUCAGGUGUGAAAACUGUCGGCUCAACCGGGAGAGUGCACAUGAAACUGGCAGGCUUGAGGGCAGGAGAGGAGAGCGGAAUUCCUAGUGUAGCGGUGAAAUGCGUAGAUAUUAGGAGGAACACCAGUGGCGAAGGCGGCUCUCUGGACUGAACCUGACGCUGAGGUGCGAAAGCUAGGGGAGCGAACGGGAUUAGAUACCCCGGUAGUCCUAGCCGUAAACGAUGGGCACUAGGUGUAGGAGGUAUCGACCCCUUCUGUGCCGGAGCAAACGCAAUAAGUGCCCCGCCUGGGGAGUACGGCCGCAAGGUUGAA
rnacentral:rRNA from 1 species